UACAGAGACUGCAAGCGUUAUUCGGAUUCACUGGGCGUAAAGGGUGCGUAGGCGGCGCGGUAAGUCGGGUGUGAAAUCUCGGGGCUUAACUCCGAAACUGCAUUCGAUACUGCCGUGCUUGAGGACUGGAGAGGAGACUGGAAUUUACGGUGUAGCGGUGAAAUGCGUAGAUAUCGUAAGGAAGACCAGUGGCGAAGGCGGGUCUCUGGACAGUUCCUGACGCUGAGGCACGAAGGUCAGGGGAGCAAACGGG
rnacentral:rRNA from 1 species